CCUACGGGUGGCAGCAGUGGGGAAUAUUGGGCAAUGGAGGAGACUCUGACCCAGCAACGCCGCGUGAAUGAUGAAGGUCUUCGGAGUGGAAAGUUCUUUUCUUAGAGAAGUAGAGUGUGACGCUACCUUAUUAAUAAGCCUCCGCUAACUACGUGCCAGCAGUCGCGGUAAUACGUAGGACGCGAGCGUUAUCCGGAUUGACUGGGGUUAAAGGGUGCGUAGGUGGUUUGGCAAGUCAGUAGCGUAACUCUGAGGCUCAACCUUAGAACUACUACUAACACUGAUGGCCUUGAGUGCAGGGGGGGUAGGCGGAAUUCGUGGUGUAGCGGUGGAAUGCUUAGAUAUUACGAAGAACACC
rnacentral:rRNA from 1 species